CCUACGGGUGGCAGCAGUGAGGAAUAUUGGUCAAUGGGCGCGAGCCUGAACCAGCCAAGUAGCGUGAAGGAUGACUGCCCUACGGGUUGUAAACUUCUUUUAUAAAGGAAUAAAGUUAUGCACGUGUGCCUUUUUGUAUGUACUUUAUGAAUAAGGAUCGGCUAACUCCGUGCCAGCAGCCGCGGUAAUACGGAGGAUCCGAGCGUUAUCCGGAUUUAUUGGGUUUAAAGGGAGCGUAGAUGGGUUGUUAAGUCAGUGGGGAAAGUUUGCGGCUCAACCGUAAAAUUGCAAUUGAUACUGGGAGUCAUGAGGACAGUUGAGGUAGGCGGAAUUCGUGGUGUAGCGGUGAAAUGCU
rnacentral:rRNA from 1 species